rnacentral:lncRNA from 1 species
GCCAAAUGAGAUGGAGAAAAUAAACACUGCCAAUGAAAUACUGGGGGUGGGGCAAUUAAAGAAAGGAAAAUUGCAUCUACUUGGAGCCAUCAGAAGAGAUUUCAUGGAGGAGGUGAAAUCAUUGUCAAUCUGUAUGGGUCAGGUGGCAUUGACCUCUGCUCCAAGUUUUUGGAAUGUCUCCCAAUCCUGACUAAGGUAGUCAGAACACCAGGCUCUUCAGCCAUGGGGGGCUUAUGGAUGAGACCACAACCCAAGCAGAACAAUGAAAACUCUCGUUGGAAUAUUUGCUGAAUCGAUACCCCUGUGAGACAUGGGGUACCAAGGAUCAGGUAAGCCUGGAACAACCAGAGUCAUCUUGGCCACUACAAAGACAGAAUAUAUCUAAGAGUAAGAGCAACAAGAGGAAAAAUCAUCCUAAGGACAAAACUUAAGUCCAGGAACACAGCUGUGAUGAAACAACCCACUUUUAUCUCCAGACGUUUUAGCUCCAUGAGCCACUGGUUCCUUCUUCCUGCAUAAGUUGGUGUGAGUUGUAACCUUGUAACCCAGAGUCCUGACGAGAAGAAAUGCUUGCUAUGUGCAUGCUACAUGAUGGAGAGAUAUGGGGGUCCGCAACAGUUGGGGUCCCUGCCUUUAUGGAGUCCAGAGUCUACCAAGGAAGACUGCCAUGAACAAUUAACUACAAAUGUGUUGAGAGUUACAAGGAAGGAGUAUAGGUUUCCAAUGCCAAGGUUUAAGCACAGGUGCAUCUCACUAGGUUUGAAAAAUGAGGGAAGACUUCUCCAAGAAACUGACACUUAUGAGACUUAAAGGAUGAAAAGAAGUUCAUCUAGUUUAAACAGAUGACAUUGAAAAAGCAAAAUUCUUGCAUACAUACAAAACCUGUGGACAAAAUCCUUACUCCAUAUUUUUAAAAGGGCAAUUUUUAGCUCACUAAUAAAACAGGCCAUACAAAAAAUGCAAAGUCAAAUACACACAUUACAUAGAAAUCAAUGCACCUAUAGAUUAAUCAAAUAUGAGAUAUAUUAAUUUCUUUAUAGAAUAAAAAAUCAUAUAUUAAAAAAUAGCUAAAGAAAUGUAGAUGUCUUCAUGAAUGCACAAUUUCAAAAAGUAUUUCAGCGAUGGGUACCAUGGGGGAACUAACAGUACGGGGUCAGUUUGGAUGGGAGGAUGGUAUUCUGCUCAAAGGUUGAUGCAUUAGUUCUGAGGGCUGAAAAUUACUUCUCUAGUCUUAGUCAUGUAAGCUUGAGCCAUCAAUAUUUUAAAUCCAAAAGAUGAUGGGAUUGUAACUAGAGGAUCUCUAAAAGCCCUUGCACUAAUGAAAUUCUAUGACAUGUCUCCAGUCUGAUUUGUCAAAACUUAAUUUUGACAUAUUAAAAUAUCAUUCAGACACUAACAGCUCACUUUCCCAAG